UAGCGUAUGUUAAAGUUGUUGCGGCUAAAAAGCUCGUAGUUGGAUUUCUGUUGAGGACAUCUGGUCCACUCUAUGAGUGUGUAUCUAGUUUGGCCUCGGCAUCCGCUCUGCAUACGUUUCUGCGCUUGAUUGCGUGGAGCGGAGGUAGGGCCUUUUACUUUGAGGAAAUUAGAGUGUUCACGGCAGGCAGUCGCCUUGAAUAUAUUAGCAUGGAAUAAUAACAUAGGAUCUUGGUUCUAUUUUGUUGGUUUCUAGAGCUAAGAUAAUGAUUAAUAGGGACAAUUGGGGGCAUUCGUAUUGCGGUGUC
rnacentral:rRNA from 1 species